UACGGAGGGUGCGAGGCGUUGUCCGGAAUCAUUGGGCGUAAAGGGCGCGUAGGUGGCCCGGUCAGUUCGUGGUGAAAGCGCGGGCGUCAACUCCGCGUCGGCCAUGAAUACUGCGGGGCUGGAGCACUGUAGAGGCAGGCGGAAUUCCGGGUGGUAGCGGUGGAAUGCGUAGAGAUCCGGAAGAACACCGGUGGCGAAGGCGGCCUGACUGG
rnacentral:rRNA from 1 species